rnacentral:rRNA from 1 species
UACGGGGGGGCAAGCGUUGUUCGGAAUUACUGGGCGUAAAGGGCUCGUAGGCGGCCAACUAAGUCGGACGUGAAAUCCCCAGGCUCAACCUGGGAACUGCGUCUGAUACUGGAUGGCUGGAGUUUGGGAGAGGGAUGCGGAUCCAGGUGUAGCGGUGAAAUGCGUAGAUAUCUGGAGGAACACCGGUGGCGAAGGCGGCAUCCUGGACCACACU